UACGAAGGGGGCUAGCGUUGCUCGGAAUCACUGGGCGUAAAGGGUGCGUAGGCGGGUCUUUAAGUCAGGGGUGAAAUCCUGGGGCUCAACUCCAGAACUGCCUUUGAUACUGAAGAUCUUGAGUUCGGGAGAGGUGAGUGGAACUGCGAGUGUAGAGGUGAAAUUCGUAGAUAUUCGCAAGAACACCGGUGGCGAAGGCGGCAUCCUGGACCAACACUGACACUGAGGAGCGAAAGCCAGGGGAGCAAACGGG
rnacentral:rRNA from 1 species